UUGCACGCUGGCGGCAUGCCUUACCCCUGCCAGUCGCACGGUAACAGGUCUUCGGAUGCUGACGAGUGGCGAACGGGUGAGUAAUACAUCGGAACGUGCCCAGACGUGGGGGAUAACGAGGCGAAAGCUUUGCUAAUACCGCAUACGAUCUAAGGAUGAAAGCAGGGGACCGCAAGGCCUUGUGCGUUUGGAGCGGCCGAUGGCAGAUUAGGUAGUUGGUGGGAUAAAAGCUUACCAAGCCGACGAUCUGUAGCUGGUCUGAGAGGACGACCAGCCACACUGGGACUGAGACACGGCCCAGACUCCUACGGGAGGCAGCAGUGGGGAAUUUUGGACAAUGGGCGAAAGCCUGAUCCAGCAAUGCCGCGUGCAGGAUGAAGGCCUUCGGGUUGUAAACUGCUUUUGUACGGAACGAAAAGGCUCUGGCUAAUACCUGGGGCACAUGACGGUACCGGAAGAAUAAGCACCGGCUAACUACGUG
rnacentral:rRNA from 1 species